rnacentral:rRNA from 1 species
UAGGGAAUCUUCCGCAAUGGGCGAAAGCCUGACGGAGCAACGCCGCGUGAGUGAUGAAGGUCUUCGGAUCGUAAAACUCUGUUAUUAGGGAAGAACAAAUGUGUAAGUAACUAUGCACGUCUUGACAGUACCUAAUCAGAAAGCCACGGCUAACUACGUGCCAGCAGCCGCGGUAAUACGUAGGUGGCAAGCGUUAUCCGGAAUUAUUGGGCGUAAAGCGCGCGUAGGCGGUUUUUUAAGUCUGAUGUGAAAGCCCACGGCUCAACCGUGGAGGGUCAUUGGAAACUGGGAAACUUGAGUGCAGAAGAGGAAAGUGGAAUUCCAUGUGUAGCGGUGAAAUGCGCAGGGAUAUGGAGGAACACCAGUGGCGAAGGCGACUUUCUGGUCUGUAACUGACGCUGAUGUGCGAAAGCGUGGGGAUCAAACAGG